rnacentral:rRNA from 1 species
UACGUAGGGUGCGAGCGUUGUCCGGAAUUAUUGGGCGUACAGGGCUCGUCGGCGGUUUGUCGCGUCGGGAGUGAAAACCUACAGCUUAACUGUGGGCUUGCUUUCGAUACGGGCAGACUAGAGGUAUGCAGGGGAGAACGGAAUUCCUGGUGUAGCGGUGAAAUGCGCAGAUAUCAGGAGGAACACCGGUGGCGAAGGCGGUUCUCUGGGCAUGAUCUGACGCUGAGGAGCGAAAGUGUGGGGAGCGAACAGG